UACGAGGGGUGCAAGCGUUAUUCGGAAUCAUUGGGCGUAAAGGGUGCGUAGACGGCAUAUUAAGUCAAUCGUUAAAUCUCCCGGCCUAACCGGGAAUCUGCGAUAGAUACUGAUUUGCUAGAGGGUGGAAGAGAGAAGCGGAAUUCUCGGAGUAGCGGUAAAAUGCGUAGAUCUCGAGAGGAACACCGAUGGCGAAGGCAGCUUCUUGGUCCACUUCUGACGUUGAAGUACGAAAGCGUGGGGAGCAAACAGG
rnacentral:rRNA from 1 species